rfam:Ananas comosus cultivar MD2 ACMD2_Scaffold_2081, whole genome shotgun sequence.
GAGCAAAGGCACCGCAAAAAAAAAAGAAAAAAAAAAUGGUGAGCUUUGCAUUGAAGGUUGGCGAAAGCAAAAGCAGUUCUCCGUGCCGCUCGGUAGAAACCCUAAUUUCAUCCCGACGAUGGCCUCGAACAAGCUGCGACAUU